CACGCACAAAUGCAGAUCAGGCUGAGUAUCUUUGCUCUCAGCACUGCUCUAAAAAAAGCAUUUCUUACUUAUCAAACCGGGCUGCAUUCUUACUUAGGAACUUCUACUGCAAAAGUGCAGCUGGUCAGAAAUCUGGAUUUCAUGGGGGACGUUCCUGUGCUUUCCAGCUUCUGUUAUACGCUGGGGCAGGGAUGUUUCUAGCAUCGAAAGUUCUAAAGAGUUUUAAUUGAAGGACAUUUUUGUUUCAGUGUUAAGAUUCAGUUCAGUCCUCUAACCUGCUGUUCUUUCCAGAGAUGUCGCAAUAAAGAGCCUUCGUGCUGAGCAACAAACCCCCCGAGACCCUGCGGAGGGUUUGGCUUAGUGCUGGUUUGUGUUAAAGCACAAUCAGUUCAUGUUAAGCUUUCUAAUGAGAAAACGAGGAGGACAAAGAUUGGGUUGCAAAGCUGCUGGUGUGGUUGCCAAGUGGGGGAUAGGCAGCACCUCCAGAUUUCUCAGGAGAUUUUACUGCAGUGCUGGCAGCAGUGAGGGAAGAUCCAAAUAAGCAGCAGAAAGCAGUGCAAGAAAGUGUGCAAUUCUCACCAUGUGGGAUGCUUCCCCAGAUUCUGGACCCAAGAGUAGCAAACUUGAAGAGUUCUCCCGGGCAACGUUUAAGAUCCCAACCCAGAGAGCCUUUUCGGUUGGUGACCCUGCUGAUGGCAGCAAUGUUACACUUGAUAUCCAGACAUUGGUCUCUGCAGAAAGAGUGUUACAAACAGCAACGUGUCUGGUACAGAUGGGGAAAACCCUUCUGAGCCAUGGAGUGAAUUUACUGCGCUUUCACUGUGACACAGAGCUGGAAAUACUUCAGGACUUGGCACCUUAUGGAAGAAGUCUGAAAACCUGAAUCUCCAUCUUGUGUUCAGACAAAAGUCUCCAGUUUCUCUGUGAGAUCAGGAGGCUAUGGCCACUGCAGAAUUGGGAUGCUCCCAUAGUGUUGUGCUAUUUUAGCUAUUAUGGCUGCUUUAAUUCAUGCUUCGGUGGUUGUUUUUAGGUUUUUAUUUUUUUCCCCAAAACCUUAAACAAAACAAAACGACUGCCCCAAUCUGAUCCAGCUCACCUGUGCUUGACCUUUCUGUCUCCACCACGCCAUGCAGCUGGUCCUGCAGUUCAUUUGUGCUUUUUUUGUUGGUGCCACUUUUGCUCUCUUUCAAAAGAGAUGCGGAGAGGCCACAUCAAGCUACAUACACCCACACCCAUGCCAGAAUUGCAGAACCCUACAGCCAAGUCUGCUGCUUUCAGUAAAAGGGGCAGGGCUUUUAGAUACCUCAUAGAAGUGGAUUAAGACUCUAACGGCUUAAAAAGUACACAAAUAUUCAGAAAUAUUUGUGGUGCUCAUGAGUAAUGUUAUUAGCUUGAAGAUUACAGUGCUUAAUGUACAACAGGAUUUGAGGAUUUAAUAGUAAAGAUCCAGAGUAAUGUGGCAGAUGUCUUGCAUUAGAGUACACUUAAGUGUGUAUCAGAGUAGAAAAUAUUUUCUAUUUUAUUACAUUACAUAACAUAAGGGAAAGGUUUAAAAACAAGUUGUAUUAAUAGAUACGCUGCAUUUCUUCCUUAUUUGUGCUGGUGGAUAGCUAAACUUCUGACUUCCUUUGUUUUUGACGGUUACAUCAUGCAUGAUGGGUUUACCAAGAGAAUUAAUAAAAUGCUUCAGCUUAUUUUUCAUUCAAGAUCAUGAUGACGGAGCUCUGUCUGGUAAGCUGCUGAAGGUGCUUAACUUACUCCUCCCUUGUUUCUCUGUUGGCUGCACUGCCUGCUCCUGCAGACUCCAAAUAGAGCAUGAGCCUGCCUUGGGUGAAAGAUCCAUCCUGUCAGAUAAAGCCCCUCAAGGCUGUUCCCCAUAUAGCUCAGCUGCUACUGGCUGGGAAGGAGUGGAAGCAGAGAGCAAAGUAUGGCAGUAUAGACAGAUGUGAUGAUGGGGCAAAACUUUCAUGUAUGAGUAUUGUGCUCCUUUCCUUUUACAAGGCAUGUAGCAACCUUAGCAUGCAGGAGCUGUUAGGUAUAUCUCCUUCAGAGGUGCUUAAUCAGAUGCUAUACCUAUACAAAACACUUUGUAAUUCACGGAUCUCAUGCUGAGUUUAAUAAUAGGACAAGAAACUCUUCUGUUAUAUUUAUAGAUGAAUAAAUAAGCCGUUAUCUGUGGCUUAUUUUCCUCUAUACCAUGACAUGCCUCGUUUCUUAACUGAUAGAAAACUAGAAUCAAACACAUCUCUAUUGAGCAAGCUGUAAAUUGAGGCUGUGAGUUGCUUUAUUCAUAAAAUGUGAAGAGUCUUUUGUGCUCUCACUGGUCUCCAACAUCCUUUUUCCCCAUGUGGAUGAGGCUGGAUCCAGGUGUGGGAUUUGCAUAGGCUGCAUCCAAACCAGGGAAGUGAACACUGUCUCUGCUGUUGCCUGGAGUGCAGCUGAGCAUUGCAGCCACUCUGCGCCAACUUGACAAGCCACUUAGCUUUCUAUUCAGUCUUCUCAUCUACACAAAGUUGUUAAUACUCCUCUGAACAUUUUCGAGAUGAAGGUCCAGCAGUAAACUCAGGCUUACUCAGCAGCAGGGGCAGGGGCAGGAAGAUUACUGUCUGUGCUUGUUUUAUUUAUCUUUCCCCUCUCUCUGCCUAUGAAAGGUAUUGCUGAGUGCACGGAAUCCCUGGCUGUCACAGUCUCAAAUGCAUCCUGGUAUAACACAUUGUACAUGCUGCUCUAGUGCAAUCAGAUGGUUUUUUGUUUUCCUUUGGAUUCUGAUAUAAUUAGAUGCACAUGAAAAGAGAAAAUACUUUAAAAUGUUUACGUUUUUAUGCAUCUCUGAUAUUCUUCACAAACACAUCAAGUCCGAAUGAACCCACGGUCCACUGCUGAGACAUCACUUACUUGUUAGAAGUCACGUUUGUGUUCUGCUGAACUGUGAUAUUUACAAACGUUUACACUGUUGGGCCUUUAGGCACAAUGAGGGGAGAAAAGUGCCCAGGAAAGCAGUGACCACUGAAAAGUUGCUUUCCUUCCUGCUUAUCGGUUAGAGUGCUGUUGUCUGGUCUUCCAUGCAAGAGAAGUACUUGUCUUGGAAGUUUACAUCCAUACAUUUUUUAAACGCAGAAGUAUCUAUCCUGCUUAGCUUUGUUUUGAGGGAAGGAUAUUCUGUAAGAGCAUAAAUGAAAGGAAUAGAGAUACUUCGUCAGUAAUAGAGCUACUUACAUUUAGACUCAGAAGUGAGGAAGAUAACUAACCCGACACCUUAUUUUACUCCCAGAAUUUGACUGUGAAGCUCUUCUCCAAAAACACACUGCUAAUCAGCACUUUAUCUCUCACUGAAAUAUGAGAAGAGCUGGGAUAUUACACUACGUUUCACUGAAUAUCUUUUUUUUUCACCACUGGGAAAAGAAAAGGAAACAAAAAUUGGCAGAACUUGGACUUCCUUAUGUGAGUCUUCAGGGCAUGAAAGAGCUGCACUGUAAGCUUGGAAUCAGAAAGUGGUGAGCAAGAAGCUUAAGAGAAACUAGCAAGAUCCAUGACAACUGCUAUGAACAGUGUUGGAGGAGAAAUCCUUUGAAUAACUUAGUUACAAAGUCUUUCAGUCUGACCAACUUGUAGUCCUCCGAGUCCUAUUUGUCACUGCAAUUCACUGCUUGCUGUGAUUCUGUAUGUUUUAAAUUUUAUCACUCCAGUAUUCCUGAAGCAUCCUUUACUGCAGCAAGCUAUUUAUUCUCCCACUUUCAGAAUAUGAGAGAUGUUUCUGUGGCUGCUUCACUCCCAAUUCUUAUGCCUCCUUAUACCUGCAUGGUGCAGUGACCACAAAUGG
ensembl:lncRNA